rnacentral:lncRNA from 1 species
GGAGAAGAUGGAACUUCUGGGCAUGAAGAUGGAAUUAUUAAGGAGGCUGAAGAUUGGUCUGAUAUUGAUAGUUACUUGAGUGGUGAUGAGCUCAAUGAUGAUGAAGAUGAUGAUUAUGAAGAUGAUUGGAGUGAUGAAGAUGAUGAUAUGCCCCCAGAUUUUGAAGAUGAUGAUGAUGAUGGAACUGUGAGAAUUCGUUUGAGCAAAUCAAUCAAGCAGACAGAUACUGUAACAAAUGACAAAGAGAAGGUGCUCACUCC